CCGGCCCAGGCCCUGGGAGAAUUUUCCCCGUCCCCCCGCCUGUCGACAGCCCAGACUGGAUGUUGCAAGAGCCAAAUGACCAAAUGUUUGGAGGUAAUCCAACAUUUGCAGUGUUGCCUUUUAUGUUGAAUAUGAUUGAAAUUCUGGCUUUGGAGAACUCGACGGAGAUGUUCUUUAAGUGCUUACAUUUCAUCUCAUCUCAAAAUGUUGAAAUCAAUACGGAUUGCCAUCGUGUAAAAAGCAGCUUUGUGUUGCGCACGUUCGACGUCAGAAGAGCUAAACUGUUUACUUUUUGCAGGUCAUCUGUGAGGCCCGCCGGACGUCUGAAAUGGAAAAGUGGCCGCAAAGCCUGCUCGGGGCGUGAAAAGGAAGGCAGACGGUUUGAAUGAACGGUUUGGCUUGUGGAGACGGAAGCAGGAAAUGUCACCGAAAUAAUGAAACGAGGAACUUCCAUCAUAAAGAGAAGUUCAAAGGAAUUCCUGCCGCAGCGCCUUAUUAAAACGGCCCAGACGGCACGCGGUGUCUGCAUCUGUAUCGCAGCAGAAAGAAAUUAAUCAAAGUUUGGAACAACAUAAUACGGGAUGUGUAGAGGCAGGUCGGCCGACAUGUCUUCACCUGACAGAGCGAUUUGAGAUAUUACAGCUAUGUGACGGCGCUGUAGACGCAUACAGGAGACGGUUUUAAUGCUGUUACCAUUGGAGACGAUGGCAUUAUAUGGAGGAAGGUAGAUUUCAAAUUAAUCUACUAAUAUUGUCAAUAUUUGCUUCAUUUUGCAGAAUGGAAUUGAAGCAAUGUGUCAAUACUCAAUGACCUCGCGCGCACACAUCAGCGGCUACAGUCAUAAUCUCUCAAACGGCUUCAGGGCGGUUUGGCCGUGUGUGGUUGAGCAGGUUCUCAUGUGUUCUAGCAGAGACGUACUGUAUAGCUGCACUGAAAACAAAUCUCUUAACUGACUUGAAAUAUCAUGAUCUGAAAGGUAUUGUGAUGUACUGGACUGUGUAAGAAAUCUGGAAUCUGUCUAGGCCUGUCUUUCUUUCUUUCUUUCUUUCUUUCUUUCUUUCUUUCUUUCUUUCUUUCUUUCUUUCUUUCUUUCUUUCUUUCUUUCUUUCUUCCUCCUUUCUUUCCUUCCUCCUUUCUUUCCUUCUUUCUUUCUCUUUCUUUCCAGCCAUCCUUCCAUCCAUCCAUCCAUCCAUCCAUCCAUUCUUUCCA